rnacentral:rRNA from 1 species
UACGUAGGGACCAAGCGUUGUCCGGAAUCAUUGGGCUUAAAGCGCGCGUAGGUGGCUUCGUAAGUCCGUUGUGAAAGUCAAAGGCUCAACCUUUGAAAGCCGAUGGAUACUGCGGAGCUAGAGUACGGAAGAGGCGAGUGGAAUUCCUGGUGUAGCGGUGGAAUGCGCAGAUAUCAGGAGGAACACCAAUAGCGAAGGCAGCUCGCUGGGACGUUACUGACACUGAGGCGCGAAAGCGUGGGGAGCGAACAGG